GACAUCACCUUGUGAUGAAAAAAGUGUUAAUUACCAGUAAUCAAAAUGAUGACAAUGUUUUUGUUCAGAUGUACAAUAAUUAUUAUUCUGACCCGGAGAGUAAGCUUCAUCUUACACACAGCUGAAAGAUGCAUUCACCUAGUUUGAAGCUAAGAAUCAAUUAUUUUUGUUGUUUGUGUUACAGCCAGUGUUAGCCAUGGGAGAGAGAUGGAUGAGCUACAGUGUCCACAGGAGGGGCCUGGAUGAAGGGACUGUGGAUGACUGUGGAUUGCAUGAGUUUUUUUAAUUACCUUGCAAUACCCUGCACCCUGGCAUUGCUGGGAGCCAGCUACCAGGAACUCACCAAUGAAAUCCCCUCCCAGGUCUGGCUCCAGAAGGGGACUCAGGUUUCCCUUUUGUGGGCGAGGUCCAACAGUGCUCACAUGACCGAUUGAUCAAUCACAAUACAUAUGUCUCAUAUGUUUUACAAGGCCGGCAGGAAUGGGUUUUUACAUCUCUGUCCCCCUCUUCCAGGAUCAUAUGCUGUGAUAGGAGUGAUGAUAGGAGGACUCACAGAUCGAGUAGCCCCAGACUCAAACUCUAUGAUAUGGGACAAUGUGACAAACACCAGCAAAGGACUCACUCAGAAGUGUCCAAUCUAAAUAAGAUUUCUGGUCAUUUAAACAAAUUCUUUAGUUUUGUGGGCAGCUACGAUGAACCUACAUGUUUCUAAAUCUGUGUUAUGUAUGUACUGUAGAUUGUGCUGGGUCUGGUCCAGUUUGGUUUGAUGGUGACGCACCUGUCUGAACCUCUGGUCCGAGGUUACACCACAGGAGCUGCUUUCCACAUCAUCCUGUCCCAGCUCAAAUACUGCUUUGGCAUCAGCCAUGUGAGACACAGUGGACCAUUGUCACUGAUAUAUACCUAAAUAUUCCCUGCUCGGGCAGGUGCCAGGCACUGACAUCUCUAAGCCACUGGAGGACUACAAUCAGUACUUGCCAGGGAUUUUGAUCUUCCGUUCCUCUGCAACACUCUACUUUGCUAAUGCUGAGAUGUAUCAAGAUGCCCUGGGGAAUAAAGGAGCCAGAGCAGAAGGACAUUGCCUUCGUUGAGUUGGAAGCUGAGCCUGAGCCCUCACACCCAAGAGCCAUCAUCCUUGACCUCAGCCCUGUCAACUUCCUGGAUACUGUGGGGGUCAAGGCGUUACAAAAUAUCCAGCUAGACUAUGGACAAAUUGGUAUAGAGGUGGUUCUCGCUGGCUGCCAAACUGAAGUGGUGGACAACGUGCAGACCGGAGGAUUCUUCAGUGACAAAGUGACAAAGUCCUGUUUGUUCGCCACCAUCCAUGAUGCCGUUUUGUACUGUCAGUCAGCCAGAGCAAAAGAAUCGAACAUACACAUUGGCACACAUCGUGCAUCAUAGUUUAUUUUAUGUUUUUGUAAAAUAGGGUAACAAAGUAUAUGAGGAGACUUCAGUCAGGAAGUAUUUUUACACCUGUAGUGAUCUAAAUCUAAAUAUUACCCAACACAGUAAGUAACACAGGGUUGACUGGGUAAUGUUUACUAUUUCUGGUUAGACUCAUUUGUAGACCACAGACUCGGAUAUCUUCUUAAUAACAGAAGUUUACAAAAGAUGAUUCUGCGAUGCUGAGCUGAGCAGGUGGUAGAAGAGCAGGGGCGAGGCAGGAGGGUUUGAGCGGGCGUGGUGGCUGGGAUCUGAACUGUCAGGAAAAACUGGUGUGGUUCUCUAGAGCACAAGAAAGCAGUAUAAGUGAGAGCAAAAAUGUAUUCAAGAUUUCUACGUAAGAGCAUUCAGCCAUGAACAAUAGGACGUAGCAGGUGAAACAAUCUGGCGACGGGGAGCAGCAGUGAUUAGUAGUUGAGUAACAGGGGUGGAGCCCAGAGAGGAAGCCACGCCCACAGCCGCACUUACUGUCACACACACACACACACACACGCACACAUUAUGGAAUUUAUGCUUGCUGAGUGUUUGCCUGUGGAGGGUCUGCAGUACCCAUAGAUUUACUGGGCAGUACCAGUAUCAGCCACAGAAGGACGCCGUGCUCCCAUGUUGCAGACAUGUCGAGGGAGGAUGUCUUGUGAAGUGAAAUGCUAAUGUGUGAGUGGCCAGUUGAUAUGGGCCUGACGGUGGAGGCAUUUGCAUAUUUGAAGUGUGUGUGUCUGCCCGGUAUGCAAAUGUAGCUGUGUCACAUGGAGUGUGACACUGUUAGCAGCAUGUUCAUCUGUGCAAUCUGAAAUGUCAUAAACUGUAGAUCAGAGAGAGAGAGAGAAAGAGAGAAAGAGAGUGUGUGUGUGUGUGUGUGUGUGUGUGUGUGUGUGUGUGUGUGUGUGUGUGUGUGUGUGUGUGUGUGUGUGUGUGUGUGUGUGUGUGUGUGUGUGUGUGUGUGUGUGUGUGUGUGUGUAGGUCUAGGUGGGGGUCAGAACUCAUUAAGGGGCGGACUGCAGGUAUCCAUUAAUAUUUCAAUAUUUCAGCCUCGUCUCAUGUUGCCUUUUGUCAAGCACCAAUCUCACCAACUGCCACUUCCAGCAGAGAGAAAGGAGGAAGAGAGAGGGGGAGACUGAACAGUGAAGGGGAAGUGAGGAGGAGAAAAGAUGGAUAAAAUGAGGGACCUGAGGAGAGGAGGCCAGAGAGGGAGGAAAACAAUAAGCACACUUCACGUCUUUGUUCCGAGGGAUGGAAAGGAAAGAAGAAGGAGGUAGAGAACACAGGAUCCAAAGUACCUGUGUAACCACCACAAUCAUUACCAGGUGGAAGAAGGGUGAGAGAAAAGUGAGGUGGGGGGAGUGAAAGUACCAGUUCUGACAGGGUGAGGGUGAGGUCGGCGAGGAGAGAGAAAAGGGGGAGGUGGAAAUAGAGAAGGCACCUGCUUUACUGAGCAUCACUGGUUCUCAGAAGAGAAAGGCAAGAGAGACGGGCAAAGAAGUGAAGAAUUAUAGGAAAGACGAGGGAAGAAAAACAAAAGAAAGGACAGAUUGAUGAGCGGGGCAGUCGCAGAUGAGACGGAGGGGAUGCUGUUUUCUAAAACCAGGAUGCAUGACUGUUAUGAAUUCAGUUUUCAAAGAGAGGACUAUUCUCUAACCAGAUUUCGUCUGAAUUAAUGAUUUUCAUUCUUCAAACAACAUGUGGAGAGAGGGGAAGUGACUUAUGGAAGCCAGCUUAAGAAAAUCCUCAGCAUCUGUGUGUGCUGGUAGAGAAAAAACUUUUUGAUGACUUCAAAGUGUUAUUGUGUUUUGAUCAGUGGGAUAUUUUGUUUGACCAAGGAGAACAAUGAAUAUUGGUGCUGGAUUCAAAGAGUUCGAGGAGGGACAUUUCACACUCAUCUAAAAGGUUUUGUAUUGGAGAUGUCACGAGAACGGCUGCCUGUCAUCGGUUUAUCCAGGAGUAAAACAGCAGCCAAGCUCCCACACUCCUCUUCGGCUCUCCAGCGUUCCCACCAGGCCAAUCAGCAGAAACGCAGCCGACAGCCGACAUCAUCCACCUCCUGCUCUCAUCCUCAUCCUCAUCCAGGAGCGACUUCCAUCCUCCCCUCAGAUACCACCAUGGCACCUUGGGGAGGCCUGAUUCUCUCUGAAUCUUCCUUUCCCUCAAUCCAGCCACCACCUCCUCCACGGCCACCUCCACCUCCACCUCCUCCUGCUCCACAGCCCACGCCAUCCUCCCCCGAUCGUGGGAGACAGAAUGAAGAGGAAGAGACUUCAAGUUCAAGUUUUAAGUCUGAGGUCGCUUACCCCCCUCUCCUUCAGGGCAGUGCAGGUGUAGGAGGUCAAGUGUUGCAGACAAGGCGGAGGUUGUUGCCCCAGCGUCGAGUGCCUCGUCCUCCCCGCCUCCCACAGCUACAUCCCGUCACCAAUCUCAGCUUCUCCCGGAGCUUCACUUUCUCUUUCUUCGAACUGCCACUGCACCAGUCGCCUCACUGUCGGGCUGAACGCAUCAGAAACCUCAUGCUGCUUUUGAGACAGAUACACUAUUGAAGGAUCACAGCUGCACAGACAAUAAAUAAUCUAAUAGGGGAAUCAGUUCAUCUCAGAUAUAUUAUUUCAAUUUCUUAGUGGUAACAUUUUCAUUUUCAACAUCAAACUACCAGUGGUACAGUGGUGUAUAUCUACUUUGAGAAUAAUGGACAUCCAGUUAAGUCAGUCUGUAUUUAGUUUUGAAAUACUGCAUUUUGCCUUUUUGAACUUUUGAACUUUUCAAAUUCUAAUGUUAAUGUCUUGAUGAAGUUAAAUGUAUCUUCUAGUAUAACCUGAAGUUACUUCAUAUUGUGGUGACAAUAUAUGUCAAGUGGCAGUUAACACAGCCACAUAUUUAGUUUGAGUUCCUGUAAGAUAUGUUCACUCAUUCUUUCUGUUUCGUGCUGCUGUGUAAAGUUCUGUUCUCUUUUCAUAUCUGGUUUUGAAAUAAUUUCACAUUGUCUCAGUGGCUUUCAAAAAUUAAUUUUGCAAAGUGGAAACCAUUGAAAGUAGAUUAAACCUGGGAAAACAGUUCUCAGGCUUGUUUUCUCUCUUUCUCUCUCGCUCUCUUUUUUCUCUGUCUCACUUUCUCUCUCUCUCUCUCUCACACACACACACACACACACACACACACACACACACACACACACACACACACACACACACACACACACACACACACACACACACAGUCUUGUACUUCUCUCUUAUAGUGAGGACGCUCAUUGGCAUAAUACAUUCCGAAAUCCCUUACCCGAACCAUAACCAUCACAACUAAAUGCCUAACCCUUACCCUAACCUUAACCCAAUUCUAACACUCACCCUUUUGAGAACCGGCGAAAAUGUCCUCACUCUGU